rnacentral:rRNA from 1 species
GAAGCAAAGCCGCGAGGUAGAGCAAAUCUCAAAAAAACAAUCUCAGUUCAGACUGCAGGCUGCAACUCGCCUGCACGAAGUCGGAAUUGCUAGUAAUCGUAGGUCAGCAUACUACGGUGAAUACGUUCCCGGGCCUUGUACACACCGCCGUCAAACCAUGAGAGUUGGCAACACCCGAAGUCGGUAGUCUAACCGCAAGGAGGACGCCGCCGAAGGUGGGGUUGAUGAUUAGGGUUAAGUCGUAACAAGGUAUC